GAUGAACGCUGGCGGCGUGCCUAAUACAUGCAAGUCGAGCGAACAGACUAGGAGCUUGCUCCUCUUACGUUAGCGGCGGACGGGUGAGUAACACGUGGAUAACCUACCUAUAAGACUGGGAUAACUUCGGGAAACCGGAGCUAAUACCGGAUAAUAUAUUUAACCGCAUGGUUCAAGAUUGAAAGACGGUUUUGCUGUCACUUAUAGAUGUAUCCGCUCCGCAUUAGCUAGUUGGUAAGGUAACGGCUUACCAAGGCAACGAUGCGUAGCCGACCGGAGAGGGUGAUCGGCAACAUUGGAACGGAGACACGCUCAAACUUCCUACGGGAGCAACAAGUAGGGAAUCUUGCGCAAUGGGCGAAGGCCGGACGGAGAAACGCGGGGUGAGUGAUGAAGGUUUCGGGAUCGAAAAACUCUGUUAUUAGGAAAGAACAAAUGUGUAAGUAACUGUGCACGAAUUGACGGUACCUAAUCAGAAAGCCACGGCUAACUACGUG
rnacentral:rRNA from 1 species